GAAGAACGCUGGCGGCGUGCUUAACACAUGCAAGUCGAACGGAAAGGCCUCUUUCGGGGGGUACUCGAGUGGCGAACGGGUGAGUAACACGUGAGUAACCUGCCCUUGACUUUGGGAUAACUUCAGGAAACUGGGGCUAAUACCGGAUAGGAGCUCCUGCUGCAUGGUGGGGGUUGGAAAGUUUCGGCGGUUGGGGAUGGACUCGCGGCUUAUCAGCUUGUUGGUGGGGUAGUGGCUUACCAAGGCUUUGACGGGUAGCCGGCCUGAGAGGGUGACCGGCCACAUUGGGACUGAGAUACGGCCCAGACUCCUACGGGAGGCAGCAGGGGGGAAUAUUGCACAAUGGGUGGAAGCCUGAUGCAGCAACGCCGUGUGCGGGAUGACGGCCUUCGGGUUGUAAACCGCUUUCGCUCAUGACGAAGCUUUGUGUGACGGUAGUGGGUAAAGAAGCACCGGCUAACUACGUG
rnacentral:rRNA from 1 species